rfam:Pteropus vampyrus cont1.338, whole genome shotgun sequence.
AAACUAUUAAUAGCCUGGUAGGCAGCAUUCAGUCCUCCUAUGUCUUCUUUCUCCUGUUGUGGUUUUUCUUCUGAAACAAAAGAAGAAAUUGUCAAAUCAGACUUGCCCUCUUGGAAGUGUGGUCCAGAUUGCUCUACUCCCAAGCUCCAGCAAA